CCUACGGGUGGCAGCAGUGAGGAAUAUUGGUCAAUGGGCGAGAGCCUGAACCAGCCAAGUCGCGUGAGGGAGUACUGCCCUAUGGGUUGUAAACCUCUUUUGUCGGGGAGCAAAAGCCGGACGUGUCCGGCUGUGAGAGUACCCGAAGAAAAAGCAUCGGCUAACUCCGUGCCAGCAGCCGCGGUAAUACGGAGGAUGCGAGCGUUAUCCGGAUUUAUUGGGUUUAAAGGGUGCGCAGGCGGAUUUUUAAGUCAGCGGUAAAAUCGUGGGGCUCAACCCCAUCCAGCCGUUGAAACUGGGGAUCUAGAGUGUGCGAGAGGUAUGCGGAAUGCGUGGUGUAGCGGUGAAAUGCAUAGAUAUCACGCAGAACCCCGAUUACGAAGGCAGCAUACCGGUGCACAACUGACGCUCAGGCACGAAAGCGUGGGUAUCGAACAGGAUUAGAUACCCUUGUAGUC
rnacentral:rRNA from 1 species